AUGUCUGCAAUUAAGUUCAAUCAGUCAGUCAAUCAAAUCUACAUUUGUAAAGGGUUUCUAAAGGGCCUCUUAUCCAAGCCUCCCCUCUGCUUCAGAGCUCUGCAGAGUUACCACCAGACACGAGGCGGUGCUUAUGGCAAGAGGACCCAAAAAAAGGGCUGGGGGGUUUGUAGUACAGGCAGCAGAGGGUAUUCGAGUAAAAUAAUAAAACUACUUUUAGAGAGCUCACAGUGCCCCACGAAGAAGGCCUCUCAAGCCCAGGAAGCUGAAGCCAGCCAGGGAAGGAAGGGUGAGAGGGCAGCCCGUGCAGCGUCACACCUCGGGGGGCUUGGAGCAAAACCGAGCAGUUUCUCUGUGCCAGGUGCAGCUCCUUGGACCAGGCAGUGGGAAGGUAAAACCCGCGUCAUCCUCUGUAGGCCUGGUGGACUUGGUUGGCACGGGGUGUAGGCAGAACGUGCUGCCACCAGGAGCGAUGCCCCCGAGAUGCUGAGCAGCUCUCUCUGAAGAACGCUUGGUGGAGGAGCUGAGGAGUAAAUGCUCGUCUGAGCACUGGCUGCGGGUCGCUGCCGGAUCAUCUCAGCCGGUGCCACCACUGCUGCGGUCGCACUGAGGCCUCUGCUCAUUUUUAGAAGGUGAAACUUUUUUUUUUUAAAUGGACUUGGACAAGUAAAUAGGAAGACAAGUUAACAUGCAUUUUUAAAUUUCUGUGAAAGUUUAAAGUACUGUGGGCAUUCGUCUUUUGGAAUAGGCUGUGCUCUUUCUGUCGUGGCUUUUCAUGUGCUUCCUCCCACUGUUUUUCUUCUUCUGUGGCUGAGCGGUGAUGGAGAGGAUUGGAUUCCAGGUGCGUGAGCCAUGAGACAUUUACUGGUUGAGGUUCAGAAAUUCCUACCCUGGGGUGGAGGGGGAAGUUAGAGGGAGGAGAAGAAAAAGAAGAGAAAUGAGAAAAUAAGGUAGGCUCCACCACCUGCCAUGUAAUGAUCAGUUCUGGAGAUAAGGCUGUUUUAAGGUGCAUUCCAGACAUAUGGGUCCUGCCCAGACACAGCACAAAAGAAAAGAGAGACUUAAAACAACAGCCAGCUCCUCCUACCCCCGGAUCAGGUGCGCGCACACAUAAGAGAAUAGCUAACCCUAAUAAAAGCCUUUCUCCCGGCCGAUGGUUUUUUUUU
ensembl:lncRNA